rnacentral:rRNA from 1 species
UACAGAGGUCUCAAGCGUUUGUUCGGAUUCAUUGGGGCGUAAAGGGCGCGUAGGCGGCGCGGUAAGUCACUUGUGAAAUCUCUGAGCUUAACUCAGAACGGCCAAGUGAUACUGCAGUGCUAGAGUGUGGAAGGGGCAAUCGGAAUUCUUGGUGUAGCGGUGAAAUGCGUAGAUAUCAAGAGGAACACCUGAGGUGAAGACGGGUUGCUGGGCCAACACUGACGUGAUGCGCGAAAGCCAGGGGAGCAAACGGGG